AGAGUUUGAUCAUGGCUCAGAACGAACGCUGGCGGCGUGCCUAACACAUGCAAGUCGAACGAGAAAAGGGCUUCGGCUCCGAGUAAAGUGGCGCACGGGUGAGUAACACGUAGGUAACCUGCCUCUAAGAUUGGGAUAACCUGUCGAAAGACGAGCUAAUACCAAAUGAGACCACAGCUUCUUAGGAAGCAGGGGUCAAAGGUAGCCUCUAUUUAUAAGCUAUCACUUAGAGAUGGGCCUGCGUACCAUUAGCUAGUUGGUGAGGUAACGGCUCACCAAGGCAAAGAUGGUUAGCUGGUCUGAGAGGAUGAUCAGCCACACUGGAACUGAGACACGGUCCAGACUCCUACGGGAGGCAGCAGUGGGGAAUAUUGCGCAAUGGGCGAAAGCCUGACGCAGCAACGCCGCGUGAGUGAUGAAGGCCUUCGGGUCGUAAAGCUCUGUCGGAGGGAACGAAUGUUCCCAGGGUUAACAGCCCCGGGAAGUGACGGUACCCUCAAAGAAG
rnacentral:rRNA from 1 species